UACGUAGGGAGCAAGCGUUGUCCGGAAUCAUUGGGCGUAAAGCGCGCGUAGGCGGUCCGAUAAGUCGGCUGUGAAAGUCAGGGGCUCAACCCUUGAAAGCCGGCCGAUACUGUCGGACUAGAGUCCGGAAGAGGCAAGUGGAAUUCCCGGUGUAGCGGUGAAAUGCGCAGAUAUCGGGAGGAACACCAAUGGCGAAGGCAGCUUGCUGGGACGGUACUGACGCUGAGGCGCGAAAGCGUGGGGAGCAAACAGG
rnacentral:rRNA from 1 species